ACUUAGUGGCAGACGGGUGAGUAACAUGUGGGUAUCUACCCUUUGGCCCGGAAUAACACGAGGAAACUUGUGCUAAUACCGGAUAAGUCUUUACGGAGAAAGCUUUAUGCACCAUUGGAUGAGCCCGCACUUGAUUAGUUUGUUGGUAGGGUAAUGGCCUACCAAGACUAUGAUCAAUAGCUGAUUUGAGAGGAUGAUCAGCCACAUUGGGACUGAGACACGGCCCAAACUCCUACGGGAGGCAGCAGUGGGGAAUCUUGCACAAUGGAGGAAACUCUGAUGCAGCGAUGCCGCGUGAGUGAAGAAGGCCUUUGGGUUGUAAAGCUCUUUCGUCGGGGAAGAAAAUGACUGUACCCGAAUAAGAAGGUCCGGCUAACUUCGUGCCAGCAGCCGCGGUAAUACGAAGGGACCUAGCGUAGUUCGGAAUUACUGGGCUUAAAGAGUUCGUAGGUGGUUGAAAAAGUUGGUGGUGAAAUCCCAGAGCUUAACUCUGGAACUGCCAUCAAAACUUUUCAGCUAGAGUAUGAUA
rnacentral:rRNA from 1 species